CGUGUUAACGUCAUUUACCAACGUGUGGGGGGAAAGACGUACGAAAGUUUCCAGUCUUGGUAUUUUUUGUUUAUGGCCCAGCCCAUUGAAAUUGUUGUUGUAAACAAAUUUGUCUUGGAAAUUGUUGUUGCUUUUGACUUUGCCAAAUGCCAAACGUCAAAACACUAUUACCCCAUUUUGUAAGAUGGCGGCUCUAAUGAUCAUACCUUGUCUUUUUAUACCAUGAAAACCACCAAUCUGCAAAAUUGUAGUUUUGAGUAAAACGGCUUCAAAGUUUUGGAAACUCAAGGAAUCUAAUGCAACAGAAAUUGAUAAUUUAAGCUUCUAGACAACAGAUAGAGUAUUGGGGUCGACGCAAUGAAUAGAGGACCGAUAACAAGUUAAAUGACGCAUUAAUGUGAAAAUAUCCAAAAAUGCAGAUUCCCGUUUUUGGCUUUGUGCCGACCAUAUUAUUGUUUCCGUGUGUUAAUAAAUAACAAUACUAUUACAAUGCAGAGAUGGGAAGAAUGCAGUCAUAAUUAUUGUUAUUAUUGGCUGGAGUACUGGUAAAGAUUGUAAUUAGACCGAGAGCUGGUAGCAGAUUUCUUUCGCGAAAGAAGGUAACGAGUUAACUCUCUUAAACCGAUUUUUUUUGGUUCAGGAAAUGAUAAACGAUUGUAGUGCCAAACUUUUUUUAAGUUCUAUAAUCAUUUAAAAACUGCAGUAUUAUUACACUUUUUCUCAGAGUCGGCGCUGAUACAAACCGGCAGACUUACAUGUUUGCUAUCGCUAUAAAUGGAUCUUCUUGCUCUAUUAAGAAAUCUUAAGCGCAAGAAAUCUACUGCCGACUCUUAGCCAAAGAUGAAGUGCAACGGAUCUACACGUUUGGAAGAAAGGCACAUGCGGGAUUUAAACCUUAAGACGCAAUAAGGGUUGAAGCAAUAAGUAAACAUCAAUUGAGUUUUAAUCAAUGCUAUUAAAUACAUGUUUGUUAACAUUAGUUUCAAUUAUACAUAUGCAAUAAAAACGUCGUAUCAACGGUGCUACAUAAA